rnacentral:tRNA from 1 species
UGCAUUAAUAGUAUAUUUGUUGCAGAGUACGUUGUCUUUCCAUGUCAAGGGUCCUAGUUACUAGGUUAAUGUAU